GGAGUGGUGCGGUGGUGCCGGUGGAGAGAGCUCCGAGGGGCGAGAGUGCGAGACCACAAAAGACAAUCACUUAGUGAGGCAAAGUCGCAGAAAUCAAAAGACUCAGAACCCGUGCAGUGCGAUCUGGUCCUUCUGGAUCUAGUUCGAUUUGAGAGGAAGUGAGCAACAAUACCAGAACCAGAUCAAGCAAGUGAGCAAUCGAGCAAUAGAGCAAGUGAGCAACAAUACCAGAACCAGUAUAUCAGAAUAUCAAAUCUAGCAUGAAUGCAAGAUGCAAAAAUACUAGUGUUGAAAGUUGGUGAACCAACGGGCAACUGGGCAAGGGCAAUGGUUGAAUUUCUUAAAGACUUAAACAGUUUAACGACAACCUACAAUUCUGCAAAGUAGGAGAAUCAAGACUGACUCAUACUCUAUCUACUAGUCUACUGUAAAUUUGAAUUUUCAUUUUGAAUGACUGAAUGAUUUGUAAAUUUUAAUUUGUAGACUGUCUCUGUCUGUAGACUAUAGUCGAUUUGCAAAUCUUCA